CCUACGUGUGGCAGCAGUGGGGAAUAUUGCACAAUGGGGGGAACCCUGAUGCAGCAACGCCGCGUGGGUGAAGAAGUACUUCGGUAUGUAAAGCCCUGUCAGCAGGGAAGAAAAUGACGGUACCUGACCAAGAAGCCCCGGCUAACUACGUGCCCGCAGCCGCGGUAAUACGUAGGGGGCAAGCGUUAUCCGGAUUUACUGGGUGUAAAGGGAGCGUAGACGGCAAGGCAAGUCUGGAGUGAAAGCCCGUGGCUCAACCACGGGACUGCUUUGGAAACUGGGUUGCUGGAGUGCAGGAGGGGUAAGCGGAAUGCCUAGUGUAGCGGUGAAAUGCGUAGAUAUUAGGAGGAACACCGGUGGCGAAGGCGGCAUACUGGACUGUAACUGACGUUGAGGCUCGAAGGCGUGGGGAGCAAACAGGAUUAGAUACCCUUGUAGUC
rnacentral:rRNA from 1 species